rnacentral:rRNA from 1 species
CCUUCGGGGCUGAGUAGAGCGGCGGACGGGUGAGUAACACGUGAGUGAUCUACCUUGAGGCGGGGGACAACCCAGGGAAACCUGGGCUAAUACCGCAUACAGCGGCGGGUGUAGAGGCCCGUCGUGAAAGCUGGCCUAUCCUUGGAAGCUAGCGCCUCUAGAUGAGCUCGCGGCCUAUCAGCUAGUUGGUGAGGUAACGGCUCACCAAGGCGAUGACGGGUAGCUGGCGUGAGAGCGCGAUCAGCCACACUGGGACUGAGACACGGCCCAGACUCCUACGGGAGGCAGCAGUGGGGAAUCUUGCACAAUGGGCGAAAGCCUGAUGCAGCGACGCCGCGUGGGGGAGGAAGGCCCUAGGGUUGUAAACCCCUGUCAGGUGGGAAGAGCAAGAGGUCGGCGAACAGCCGGUCUCCCCGACGGUACCACCAGAGGAAGCUCCGGCUAACUCCGUGCCAGCAGCCGCGGUAAAACGGAGGGAGCAAGCGUUGUCCGGAAUUACUGGGCGUAAAGAGCGCGUAGGCGGCCAUGUAAGUCGUAUGUGAAAGGCCGGGGCUUAACCCCGCGUAUGGCAUACGAUACUGCAUGGCUGGAGACAGGUAGGGGCGAGCGGAAUUCCCGGUGUAGCGGUGGAAUGCGUAGAUAUCGGGAGGAACACCAGUGGCGAAGGCGGCUCGCUAGGCCUGUUCUGACGCUGAAGCGCGAAAGCGUGGGGA